AACGCUGGCGGCGUGCCUAACACAUGCAAGUCGAACGAAGCAAUUAAAAUGAAGUUUUCGGACGGAUUUUUGAUUGACUGAGUGGCGGACGGGUGAGUAACGCGUGGAUAACCUGCCUCACACUGGGGGAUAACAGUUAGAAAUGACUGCUAAUACCGCAUAAGCGCACAGUACCGCAUGGUACGGUGUGAAAAACUCCGGUGGUGUGAGAUGGAUCCGCGUCUGAUUAGCCAGUUGGCGGGGUAACGGCCCACCAAAGCGACGAUCAGUAGCCGACCUGAGAGGGUGACCGGCCACAUUGGGACUGAGACACGGCCCAAACUCCUACGGGAGGCAGCAGUGGGGAAUAUUGCACAAUGGGCGAAAGCCUGAUGCAGCGACGCCGCGUGAGUGAAGAAGUAUUUCGGUAUGUAAAGCUCUAUCAGCAGGGAAGAAAAUGACGGUACCUGACUAAGAAGCCCCGGCUAACUACGUGCCAGCAGCCGCGGUAAUACGUAGGGGGCAAGCGUUAUCCGGAUUUACUGGGUGUAAAGGGAGCGUAGACGGCGAAGCAAGUCUGAAGUGAAAACCCAGGGCUCAACCCUGGGACUGCUUUGGAAACUGUUUUGCUAGAGUGUCGGAGAGGUAAGUGGAAUUCCUAGUGUAGCGGUGAAAUGCGUAGAUAUUAGGAGGAACACCAGUGGCGAAGGCGGCUUACUGGACGAUAACUGACGUUGAGGCUCGAAAGCGUGGGGAGCAAACAGGAUCAGAUACCCUGGUAGUCCACGCCGUAAACGAUGAAUGCUAGGUGUUGGGGGGCAAAGCCCUUCGGUGCCGUCGCAAACGCAGUAAGCAUUCCACCUGGGGAGUACGUUCGCAAGAAUGAAACUCAAAGGAAUUGACGGGGACCCGCACAAGCGGUGGAGCAUGUGGUUUAAUUAGAAGCAACGCGAAGAACCUUACCAAGUCUUGACAUCCUCUUGACCGGCGUGUAACGGCGCCUUCCCUUCGGGGCAAGAGAGACAGGUGGUGCAUGGUUGUCGUCAGCUCGUGUCGUGAGAUGUUGGGUUAAGUCCCGCAACGAGCGCAGCCCUUAUCCUUAGUAGCCAGCAGGUAAAGCUGGGCACUCUAGGGAGACUGCCAGGGAUAACCUGGAGGAAGGUGGGGAAGACGUCAAAUCAUCAUGCCCCUUAGGAUUUGGGGUACACACGCGGUACAAUGGAGUAAACAAAGGGAAGCAAGACAGUGACGUGGAGCAAAUUCCAAAAAUAA
rnacentral:rRNA from 1 species